UGUGGGUAAGUGGAUGAUGGGGGGGGGGGGGGCUGCUCAGCUGACACCCUCUUACCUACAAAAGCGCCUUUUAAUUUUAUUUUUUUACUUGAAUUUGGGGCCAAAAACGGACUCUGGAAAGUGAAGGAAGUGAGUCCUGAGGAGCUUGCCUUUUCCGUCGCGUGCGUGAAGGAAUCUUUAAAUCCCUCCCGAAUAAUGGGCCUUAGUCCCCCUGGCUGUCCCCCCUGACCCCGCCCACUAUCUCGCCUUCCGCACCGCUCUUUAUCCGCAGAGGGUUACAGAUGUCCCGCCCAUGGCUCGUCUGCACCCCUGCCGUGGAAAGCGCGCACACACACACACACGCCGAAACACACAUACAGGUACGUCCACAUACAUACAGACACACUCAAACUGAAACACGCGUUCAGACGCUGCAACACACACACAGACACGCACGCGCAAACACACAGGUACUGAAACACACAUACAGACACACACACGUAUGCGCACACACACACACACACAAACAGGCGCACACACACACACACACCGCAGACAGGAUGUAGGACGUCCCGAAUUGAGCCGAUCCACUGAGAGCAAUAAGUGCCGUCCCGACAGCUAGCCGCAAUCGACACACCUUCACCGUCCCGUCCGUUUGGCGAAAACACACCCCCCAGCUGCAUUACCGAGCGUACACACAGUCUGUUUGAGCAGAGCUGUCACCCUGGAAACGACGAGCUUCAUACACGUGACACGACAGCAAGCACAGACACUGAAGCAGGUGGCAGCACAACUUCGCCUUCUCCCGUCAGGGUUCAGAGUUCAAGUUUACAGCCACGCCAAAUGUGAAACCGCAGCGCACAUCGCUAUGACGACUGCACUGUGAUUGGUUGGGGGGGGAGGGGGGAGGGGGUGGGGCUGUUCCAUUCACAUUGCCACACUCUAAUAAAAAUGGAGUGGUGACUUUUAAUAUAGUUGCUUUGACCCGCUGAUAAUUUGGAUCUUAGCGAUGUGGUUAUUCAUUACUCUCUCUCUCUCUCGCUAUUAGAAUAACGACAGAAUGAUAUUAAAAAACCGGCCAGUAUCGCCCGGCAACACCGAGGCCCGUUUUAUUAAAUACGCGAGCGGUUCCGCGUGUGCCGUCGUUCGGUCCAGACGCUUUCCACGGCAGGGGUGCUCCCCAGUAUCACCAUGGUCUCCUGAGGUCGUAAUACUGGUCCCCCCACGAUCGCCAUUUCAACACUGGGUGGUGUGAGGAGGGGAAAACAGACCGGAAUUAGGGGCGAACCGAGCGAGCCUGGGAAUAUUUUAAAAUCCGUUUUCAUUAAUUGCCUGGUUCUGAGUUCCGCCCUGUUCCAACGAUUAAGUAUUUAUUGUUUAAUUUAUUACGUAUUUAUUUUUUUUAACAGACGCAGGUGCGCACUGUUUUCUCCAAUAAGCAGUGAAUUCCACUGGGGGCUGAGCAUAAUUUCAUACUUGAACUUUUUAAUUUUUAAUUCUUUUUUUUGCAUAACACAUGAAUAACAGGACCAGAAGGAUUGUCUGAAUGACGGUGUAAUUUACAGGGCUCAAGAUUUAAUGGGGCACUAGUCUGUGCUUAGUGCUCAGCUGUUUUUCUUUUUCUUUACAUCUACAAAUGUCAGCUAAAUUAACCCUUUCAAGUGCAGGUUUUUUGGAAUUUUUUUUUUCCUUCAACAUUCUGUGUCCGUGUCCUAGAACUCUGUGGCUUUCAAUUUCCAGUAGUGAUUGUGACAUCAGCAUUAGAAUGUUCAGUUAACAUUCUAACCACAUAUUUGUGCACCUCUCACCUUAAAAGGGUUAAACAAAAUGAGCAAGGAACAGGCAGGACCGUGCAAUGGCUGCCACUGCCAUGUCACUCUUCUCGCCCUCUAGUGCUGAAACACUGUAACUGCAGGAGCAGUGCGCUCUGCUAUUUCACAAACGAGGGACACAACCGUUUUCAACGACACUUUCCUCCAGCAACAGCCAGUAGGCAAGUUCAUGGUUGAAUUAUAUGUUUAUGGUAGAGAGAGAGUACAGUCCUGAGAGAGCAUUGAGAAAACUACAGAUCACAGUGGCCAUGUGAACCGGAUUUGUGCCUUACAUGCACUACUAGAAAGAGUAGACAGCAAAGAUGCAUAAAAUUAAAUGGCGGCAUUUAAUUUUUUUGCUGCCCUUAAUAUAAGCUGAUAAUUCUGUUACAUUGCCGUGAAUAAUAUACACAAUUAAGUACACUACCGUUUGUACCCCCAAAGUAACGCAACCUGAUUGUAAUAGCGUAUAAUUAUCUGCAGUUUGAGGUAACCACACCACGUAAUUACAGGUUGAUUACAACCAGGGUUCACCAUUGGAUACUGGUAGUAAAAUGGAAAGAUUUUUUAAUUUGUUUACUGUUGGCCUGUUUGGGGGGGGGGGGAAACCGUAUAGGUAUGAAAUGUCUUUUUGCCAGCGCAGUCCUUUCUAUAAAUAUGGGGGUUUUUCUUCCCCACAUUCAGGGUUUAUCUAAUGGGUAAAUUACUAGUGUCCUGUACAAUUAUAAAGGUGUCUUAACCCUGCUGCUGGCAGACAAACCAUAAUUCUCUAAAAAAGCUUCUCUCACUCACACAUAGACUGAAUAGUAGUGAUAAUCUAUUCUAAGAGUAUAUACUGAAAAAUAAUGCUAUUGAUAUGUUAAUAAUAAUAAUAAUAAUAAUAAUGUCUGUUUUAACCAAAAAUGAGACCAUUGUGAGACCUGGUUUUCUAGAAGCAAUGGAAUUUUUGCAAACAGGUAGUCUGCAAAUUUAAAACAACCAGGAUAAGAUCAGAUACACUUUAUUGAACCCCGUGGGGUCAUUUUGUCCCCUGCAUUUAACCCAUCCUAGUUGCUUAUAGGAGCAGUGGGCAGCCACAGUGCAGCGCCCGGGGACCAACUCCAGCUCUGAGGCCAGUGCCAUGGUCGAGGGCAAUGGCAGGAGCGCACCUGACCCUGACAUAUACUGUGUCUUUAAAACUGAAUCGUUAGAGAUGUAGGGCGCGCAUCUCGAACCCCCAGUGGCUCAGGCCCGCCCAACCCCCACCAUUUCUUAACACGUUAACACUUUAGUUCAGGGGUGUGCGAUCUUAUCCGAAAAAAGGGCCCGGUGUGGGUGCAGGUUUUUUUUUUUGUUUUAACCCAGCACUAAGACACCUGAUUCUGCUUAUCACUGUCUUGGUUGAAAGACCAUCAUCAGUUGAAUCAGGUGUCUCGGUGCUGGACUGAAACAAAAACCCCUGCACCCGCCCCCGGCCCUGUCUGGAUAAGACUGGACACCCCCCUGCUUUAGAUUCUCAUUAAAAUCAGCACAAGGCCGUGUUUACGUUCCCUGUGCAAAAAAAAUACUGUGCGUUAUAUCCACACACACACACACACACAGUCUUUGAACCUGCGCUGGCUUUAUUUAACGCAGCAUCUGGGAACAAGCGUGUUUGCCGAAAAUAGGCGGUCGGACUAAUUAAUUUUUUUUUUUUUUUUUUAAAGCAGCAGGGAUAAUUUACAAAGAAGUAAUGUAUCCGAAAGUUAUUUUUUGUGUUAAUUCUGGUGGGGAAAUGAGGGGCCGUUGAUUUGCAUGUGGAUCUGUGGUGGGGGUUUAAUCCUCCCCCAAGCGAGGGGGGAGGUGCGGGGGGUGGGGGGGGGGGAGAGGCGGUUCGGUCAGAAUUACUGCCGGGCCGGCUAGCGAAAAAAGCUGCUCGGUCAGCACCGCAGGUGUAUGACGGAAUCACAGAGCUCCGGUUUGAACCACUUUAUGAAAUUAGAGAAAAUAAUAAAUCCUUGGACAAAAUAAACAAAUAAAUAAAUAAAAAGGAAAGAAGGAAAAACCCGAGCGGCGAAUCGUAUUUGAUUUAGCGCCUUUUGGUUUCGGUGUCAGCUCGCAGAGCUUGCAGUGAGUUUGCGGUUGAGGCUGGCUGUGGAGCUACGUACACAAAAAACACAAAAAGCGGUCGGGGGGUUUUUGAGUGAAACGAAUGCCUAAAAAUAAAACAUAAAAUAAAUGAAAUAAAAAAAACACAGUAGAGGCCCAUAGCCAUACGUCGAGCCAGUCAGUGGAGGGGCCGAACAUGGGGCAGGGGGUGGGGGUGGGGGUGGUGGGGUGGGGGGGGGACAGCUCAGAGCCACACUGUACGCUAUGGUCUUUUAUUGUAAUGUGCUAUGUACUGCUACAUUAACAUAGGCACCUGUUAUUGUGAGAAGAGCGCGAGAGAGAGAGACUGAAGAGAAGAAUGGGUGCAAAGUCGUGGUGUUUCUCAGUAGAUACUGUAGAAGAUAUUUGUCGGUUUUAGGUCCAUAACUGCAUUUCAGUCAGUGUUCUAGUUAAAAAAUAAAAUAAAAAAUUAAAAUAAAAAAAAUCAUUUUCGUCAUAAAAAUAAAUGAAAUUUUUUAUUUUAUUUAUUCGUCAGUUCUGUUCUGCUUUGUUUAUCCCAAAUGUUUGAAUCCAUUUUAUCGUAACAAACUUGUUUACAAUUUCAAAGAUAUAUGGAGUUAUAUUAACAAUGUGUCCGGAGAGGAAGUGACUUUGUGAGUGGCUGCUUGACUGGUUGGAUGAUUGCUCUGCCUAGUUCUUAAUUAUAUAUAAAUAUAUAAAUAUAUUUUGUAUAAUUAUUUGUUAAAAAUGUUUCUUUUUAAAUUAUUGUUUCUUUGUUCCGUUUGUCUGUAUGUUCGUUUGAAGGAGUUGUAGUAAUUGAUCCUUUGGAACGCUGGCUGCAAUGAAGUGUUUUGUAUAUAUUUGCACUUUUUUGACUCAGUCCGAGGUUUUCAAAAGAUGGGAUUAUAACUUAAUGUUCAAAAUUACACGCAUGGUGUUUUUGUUUUGCUAAUUAAAAAUAUGUGGAUGAUGCUG